ACGCUUCUUUUCUACCGAGUGCUUGCACUCACUUGAAAAGAGGAGUGGCGGACGGGUGAGUAACACGUGGGUAACCUGCCCAUCAGAGGGGGAUAACACUUGGAAACAGGUGCUAAUACCGCAUAAUAGUCGACACCGCAUGGUGUUGAUUUGAAAGACGCUUUCGGGUGUCACUGAUGGAUGGACCCGCGGUGCAUUAGCUAGUUGGUGAGGUAACGGCUCACCAAGGCGAUGAUGCAUAGCCGACCUGAGAGGGUGAUCGGCCACACUGGGACUGAGACACGGCCCAGACUCCUACGGGAGGCAGCAGUAGGGAAUCUUCGGCAAUGGACGAAAGUCUGACCGAGCAACGCCGCGUGAGUGAAGAAGGUUUUCGGAUCGUAAAACUCUGUUGUUAGAGAAGAAUAAGUAGGAGAGUAACUGCUCUUACCUUGACGGUAUCUAACCAGAAAGCCACGGCUAACUACGUGCCAGCAGCCGCGGUAAUACGUAGGUGGCAAGCGUUGUCCGGAUUUAUUGGGCGUAAAGCGAGCGCAGGCGGUUUCUUAAGUCUGAUGUGAAAGCCCCCGGCUCAACCGGGGAGGGUCAUUGGAAACUGGGAGACUUGAGUGCAGAAGAGGAGAGUGGAAUUCCAUGUGUAGCGGUGAAAUGCGUAGAUAUAUGGAGGAACACCAGUGGCGAAGGCGACUCUCUGGUCCGUAACUGACGCUGAAGCUCGAAAGCGUG
rnacentral:rRNA from 1 species